rnacentral:rRNA from 1 species
UACAGAGGGUGCAAGCGUUGUUCGGAAUUACUGGGCGUAAAGCGCACGUAGGCGGCUUUCUAAGUCGGGGGUGAAAUCCUGGAGCUCAACUCCAGAACUGCCUUCGAUACUGGAAAGCUCGAGUCCGGGAGAGGUGAGUGGAACUGCGAGUGUAGAGGUGAAAUUCGUAGAUAUUCGCAAGAACACCAGUGGCGAAGGCGGCUCACUGGCCCGGUACUGACGCUGAGGUGCGAAAGCGCGGGGAGCAAACAGG